rnacentral:tRNA from 1 species
GGGGAUUUAGCUCAGUGGUAGAGCGCUUGCCUAGGAAGCGCAAGGUUCUGGGUUCGGUCCCCAGCUCCG